rnacentral:rRNA from 1 species
CUCCUUCCCAUUCCGAACAGGACAGUUAAGGUCUAUAGCGCCGAUGGUACUGCAUGGGAGACUGUGUGGAAGAGUAGGACGUCGCCAGGU